CCUUAUCUCACCAAUUAACGCUUUCAAACAGCAUAGACAACAAAAGCUUUGAGUUUUCUUUUUAUUAUUAGUUUUCAUUUCAAUUUUAUAGUUUGUUGAAAUGGUUUAAGGCUUUAAGGAGAGAUUCAAAAUCCUACUCUCCGGGGAAAAGAGAGAGAUAGGCGUACACUUCAAUGGGUCUUUGCACCUCCAAACCCUCCCCAAACCCUUCUGAUUCUACAAAUGCCUCUAUCAAUACCCGGAAUAACGAUAUCUACCGCAAGCCUAACUCUGUUUCGGCUUCUCCUUUACCUGAUGGAGUAAACUCCAAGGAAGAUCAAGGUAAACAAGGAGAAGAAGAAAAAGAAAGCUCCAAUCCCAACAAUGAAGGCAAGAAAUCGCCGUUUUUCCCGUUUUAUAGUCCCAGUCCAGCUCACUACUUGUUUUCCAAAAAGUCUCCUGCGAGAUCUUCAACCAAUUCCACUCCAAAACGGUUUUUCAGGAGGCCAUUCCCUCCGCCGUCUCCGGCGAAGCAUAUUAGGGCAGUGCUUGCGCGGAGGCACGGGUCUGUGAAGCCGAAUGAGGCCGCGAUCCCGGAAGGAAGCGACGCAGAGGCAGCGGGAGCUACCGGUACCGGACUGGAUAAGAGCUUCGGCUUCUCGAAGCACUUCGGGAGCAAAUAUGAGCUCGGAGACGAAGUAGGAAGAGGCCAUUUCGGUUAUACUUGUACGGCGAAGUUUAAGAAAGGAGAGCUUAAAGGACAACAAGUUGCCGUUAAAGUUAUACCUAAAGCGAAGAUGACUACUGCAAUUGCCAUUGAGGAUGUUAGAAGGGAGGUAAAAAUAUUAAGAGCUCUAUCUGGACAUAGCAAUUUAGUACAAUUCUAUGAUGCCUACGAGGACCAUGAUAAUGUCUACAUAGUGAUGGAAUUAUGUGAAGGAGGGGAGCUCUUGGACAGAAUUCUUUCUAGGGGCGGAAAAUACACUGAGGAUGAUGCAAAAGCUGUGAUGAUUCAGAUACUUAACGUUGUUGCUUUUUGCCAUCUCCAGGGUGUUGUGCACCGGGAUCUUAAACCUGAGAAUUUCUUGUUUACAUCAAAGGAUGAAAAUUCACAAUUGAAGGCUAUAGACUUUGGCUUGUCUGAUUUUGUGAAACCGGAUGAAAGGCUUAAUGACAUUGUUGGUAGUGCAUACUAUGUAGCACCAGAAGUUCUACAUAGGUCUUACAGUACAGAAGCAGAUGUCUGGAGCAUAGGUGUGAUUGCUUAUAUUCUUUUGUGUGGUAGUCGUCCAUUUUGGGCUCGAACAGAGUCUGGGAUUUUUCGAGCUGUUCUAAAAGCUGAUCCAAGUUUUGAUGAAGCACCUUGGCCAUCUCUAUCUUCUGAGGCUAGGGAUUUUGUGAAGCGUUUACUGAAUAAGGACCCAAGGAAAAGAUUGACUGCAGCCCAAGCUUUGAGUCAUCCCUGGAUAAAAAAGUAUAACGAUGUGAAAGUGCCCUUGGAUAUACUGAUAUUCAAACUCGUGAAGGCUUAUCUGCGCUCUUCAUCUUUUCGGAAGGCUGCUUUAAGGGCCCUGUCUAAAACUUUGACUGUGGAUGAGCUGUUUUACUUGAAGGAGCAGUUUGCAUUAUUGGAACCAAAUAAAAAUGGCACUAUAAGCUUAGAAAAUAUCAAAGCGGCUCUGAUGAAAAAUGCAACAGAUGCUAUGAAGGAUGCUCGCAUCCCUGAGUUUCUUGCAUCGCUAAAUGCACUUCAAUACAGACGGAUGGACUUUGAUGAGUUCUGUGCAGCUGCAUUAACUGUUCAUCAGCUGGAGGCUCUUGAUCGGUGGGAACAGCAUGCACGUUGUGCUUACGAAAUCUUUGAGAAGGAAGGAAACAGACCUAUUGUCAUUGAAGAGCUAGCUUCGGUAUGUUGAUCUCCCCUGCAAAGUUUUUGCAUCUAUGCCUCAUUCGGAUGAUUAUUUAAUUCCUUUGAGUAGGCUGACAGGAACUCGGACUGAGCCCAUCCGUGCCUGUUCAUGCUGUUCUUCAUGACUGGAUUAGGCACACUGAUGGGAAGCUAAGUUUUCUCGGAUUUGUCAAAUUAUUGCACGGUGUAUCUAGCUGAACCAUCGCAAAAGCUCAAUAGAAGCCGUAAAACUUCGUAAGAGCUCUAAUGAGCUGGUAUGGCUAAUAAAAGGAUCAGGUGAGGUGUUUGCUAGGCUAUAACCUGAAUAUGAUAAAGAGGUAGAGUGAAUUUCGCCGUCGCAAUCAAUGCCCCUACCCCAACCUCUUCGAUUAUGGCUUAUUUCAUUUGUCUAGCACAAGCUUAUUGAACCCCCAAAACAUAAUUGAAGCCAAUGAACCUCCUGCAAGUGCAACUUAACAUUGACCAAGCUUUAGUCAUUUUAUGUUUUUUUUCCCCACUGUAAAGUUGAAAGAAUGUGUUAAAUAUAAAUAUAAAUAUAUAUAUAUAUCUAAACAGACUUGAUAAAUCUGACAUAUUUCGUGAAGCCCCCGUGAGAUCAUUGAUUGCUGAUGUAUCAUCAUCUCCUGUGUUCUAUAACGUGUAUCAAGUAUUCUUGUCCUUAAAAUUCUCUACGUGUCUUUGAACCAAUCUUGAUUGUGUGCUUCCAUAGCUGUUCUUCUAUGGAUUUGAAUUUAAAUGAUUGCCUGAUUUGAUA